rnacentral:tRNA from 1 species
AGGGAUUUAGCUCAGUGGCCUAAGUGCCUGCCUAGCAAGCAGUAGGUUGUGAGUUCAAUCCCUG